CCUACGGGUGGCUGCAGUGGGGAAUAUUGCACAAUGGGGGAAACCCUGAUGCAGCGACGCCGCGUGAGUGAAGAAGUACCUCGGUAUGUAAAGCUCCAUCAGUAGGGAAGAAAAGGACGGUACCUGUCUAAGAAGCUCCGUCUAACUACGUGCCAGCAGCCGCGGUAAUACGUCGGGGGCAAGCGUUAUCCGGAUUUACUGGGUGUAAAGGGAGCGUAGACGGAGGAACAAGUCUGUAGUGAAAGCCCGGGGCUUAACCGCGGAACUGCUGUGGAAACUGUGCGGCUGGAGUGCAGGAGAGGUAAGCGGAAUUCGUAGUGUAGCGGUGAAAUGCGUAGAUAUUAGGAAGAACACCGAUGGCGAAGGCAGCUUACUGGACUGUAACUGACGUUGAGGCUCGAAAGCGUGGGGAGCAAACAGGAUUAGAUACCCUAGUAGUC
rnacentral:rRNA from 1 species